UACGAAGGGUGCAAACGUUAAUCGGAAUUACUGGGCGUAAAGGGUGCGUAGGCGGUUCGUUAAGUCUGUCGUGAAAUCCCCGGGCUCAACCUGGGAAUGGCGAUGGAUACUGGCGAGCUAGAGUGUGUCAGAGGAUGGUGGAAUUCCCGGUGUAGCGGUGAAAUGCGUAGAGAUCGGGAGGAACAUCAGUGGCGAAGGCGGCCAUCUGGGACAACACUGACGCUGAAGCACGAAAGCGUGGGGAGCAAACAGG
rnacentral:rRNA from 1 species